rnacentral:rRNA from 1 species
GACGAACGCUGGCGGCGCGCUUAACACAUGCAAGUCGAGCGAAGCGGCGGACGGGUGAGUAACACGUGAGUAACCUGCCUUAGACAUUGGGAUAGCCUCGGGAAAACGGGAUUAAUCCCACAUGGUCUAAGAUGGCCUCGGGUCCCAUUAGCUAGUUGGUCGGUAACGGCCCACCAAGGCGACGAUGUGUAGCCGGCUUGAGAGGGUGAACGGCCACAUUGGAACUGAGAAACGUUCCAAACUCUACGGGAGGCAUCAGUGGGGAAUAUUGCACAAUGGAGGGAACUCUGAUGCAGCGACGCAGCGGGAACGAAGAAGGCUUUCGAGUCGUAAAGUUCUUUUAUAUGGGAAGCGGUACCAUAAGAAAAAGCCCCGGCUAACUACGUGCCAGCAGCCGCGGUAAUUC